AUACGUACCUGGUGGGGGAGAUAUCAUGAUCAUGAAGGUGGUUUUUCCAGGGUGAAGUUUAUCCAUUGCUCUCCAGAUGUGGUGACCCCAGCAAUUUCCCCAAAUCUGGGAAACAUGACUGCAUAAUUUGUGGGUAGUGGGCUACUGUGUUGACGCUUAA